CUGUUAUGUUGCUUCAGUUGAUUUGACUUGAGUAAACAAGUCGUUCUUAGCUCAUUUAAUUUCAUAAGUUAAGACAAGAUAACUUCAUCGUAUCAAAUUAACUUGAUAUUUUUGUCAAAUCAACUGUUAUGUUGGUUCAAUUGAUUUCACUUCAUGGUUGUGAAUUUCUAAGUUGAGUAAGCGCAUUGUUUUUGCUAACUUAAUUUGAAUUGAUAUCUUUUGAAUUUUUCAGUCGGUUGAAAUCAACUCACGCAUAAAGGGAAGGACACUCAACAAGCACAGCACCAACACAAAUGACUGAUGAUUGGCUGAGAGAAGUUGAUGAUAAAAAUGAUUGUGGGAGCUGUCUUGUUAGACUUCAGUGCAGCUUUUGACAUUAUCGAUCAUUGUCUGCUGCUGUAAAAAUGUAUGUGUUAUGGCUUUACACUAGUGGUCGACCGAUUAAUCGGAAUGGCCGAUUAAUUAGGGCUGAUUUCAAGUUUUCAUAACAAUCGGAAUGGGCGCGGAUUUGCCCAUUUUUUAAAAUAUAUUUUUUACACAUUUAUUUAAUAUUUAUUUAACUAGGCAAGUCAGUUAACACAUUCUUAUUUUCAAUGACGGCCUAGGAACGGUGGGUUAACUGCCUCGUUCAGGGGCAGAAAGACAGAUUUUCACAUUGUCAGCUCGGGGGAUCCAAUCUUGCAACCUUACAGUUAACUAGUCCAACACAAUAACGACCUGCCUCUCUCUCGUUGCACUCCACAAGGAGACUGCCUGUUACGCAAAUGCAGUAAGCCACGAGUUUCACCCUGUCGGAGCAACAAUGACAUCACAUGUGAAGCUCAGAAAAGAGAGAGUUGGAGCUGUGGACUAUGACACACAAAUCAAAGAGGUGCGUUGUCAGUUGGUGGACCAGUUGAAGGUUUUGGAUCUGCAGUUGGAGCAGAAAUCUCAGCAGCUUCAGGAUCUGACAGACUACCUGCGUAGACGCAGUGAGAUAGAAGGAGAGUACGCACGCUCGCUGGACAAAUUGGCCGAGAGGUUUACCUCCAAAAUCAAAAGGAAGGAGCCUGGCAGUGGUCAGUCUGUGGCCCAGUGUUGGCUGGUCCUGCUGGCUCAGACCAGACAGGAGAGCAAAGACCACAGUGGUGUGAGUGACAGCUGUAGCACCACCCUCACCCAGCCCCUCACACACUCUCUGGAGAUCACACAGCGCCUGGCCAAGAGGGUACUGCUUUAUCUUCAUUUGAUUAAUUUAGCGUGGCGGACCUACUAUCAGUACCACUCAGAGUAUGAGUCUGCAGAGGGAAAGCUGAAGGAAGCAGAGAAACAGAAGCAAGGAGCUUCUAAAAAGAUUGAGAAAAGACAGUGUAAAGUGCAGGAGAUCCAGCUGAAGUGCACUAAGGCUCGUAAUGACUACCUUCUCAAUCUGGCUGCUGCCAAUGCUUCCAUGAACAAGUACUAUCUCCAAGACCUCUCCUCACUCAUGGACUGUUCAGACAUUGGCUACCACCUUUCUCUGUCCCGUGUGCUACGCUCCUACCUGUCCAGCCGCUCCCGGGCCCAGCAGAACCUGAGUGGAGGGCUGCAGCAGCUCCACACUGCUGUGUCUGGACUGGACCAGAUUCAGGACAGAGACUACCUGCUACAGACUCACACCAACACCUUCUGUCUACCCCUCCGCUUCCACUACCAGCCACGCGAUGGAGACCAGGUGUGUGAGGUGAGUGCAGAACAGGAGAUUAGGUGUGAGAUGGAGACCAGGUUCCAACAGCUGCAGUCAAAGCUCACCGGGUUCACUCAGGAAACAGAGGAGGUACAGUCCAGUAUCAGUGAUGAUGACCUGGAUCCUCCACCCUCCAGAAGCAAUGAAAGCCUGGCCAGCAGCAGUAGCAGACCCAGUCUGGCCAGACGCAGAGCCAACCUGCAGGAGACUGAGACACUCUACUGUGCUAACGUGAAGGAGUAUCUCUGUAAAAGCUCUCUGGUAUCUAAACUACAGGCGAAACAUGAUCUGCUUAAAGUGGCGGUUGAGAAAGGUACAGCACUAACUACUUCUUUAUUGCGUGUGAGGAGUAAGAGUCAACCCAGUGUCCAGUACACCCACAAACUCUUCACCGGAGACAUGCUCUCCUUCAUACAGGCAUCAGGACAGGAGAUACCUGUAGUGGUGGAAAGCUGCAUUCGCUUCAUCAACCUUAACGGUCUCCACCAUGAGGGUAUCUUCAGAGUACCAGGGUCUCAGGGGAAGGUCAACAGUCUGAGAGAUGCCUUUGAGCGAGGAGAGGACCCUGUGGCAGACAGCAGGUGUGACUUGGACUCGGUAGCAGGAGUAUUGAAACUCUACUUUAGAACCCUGGAAAACCCUCUCUUUCCUCAAGACAGCAUCGCUCAGCUCCUGGAGUACGCACAGAUUGACAACGAGACGGAGAGAGCAGCUAAACUCAAAUCAGUCAUCUCCUCCUAUCCACCACCUGUCAGCACCGUCAUGAGAUACCUCUUUGCAUUCCUCCAUCAUGUGUCUCAGUACAGCGAUGAGAACAUGAUGCAGCCCUAUAACCUGGCUGUGUGCUUCGGCCCCAGUCUGCUACGAGGGGCGCAGGAUGAUGAUGUCGUUACCUUGCAGCCUCAGAUCAACUCCCUGGUGAAGAGCAUCAUCUUGCAGCACGAGAGCAUCUUCCCAAGCCUGGCCGAGCUACAGGGACCAAUUUAUGAGAAAUGCAUGACAUAUUGUUUGUCCCAUCUAUGCUUUAUGAGAAACAUUUUUCAACUAUGGAUAGAAACUAUCCAGCUGGCUAAAUCUGACACAUUUACAGAAAUGUUGAUUGAUGUGCAUUGUCUCAGUCAAAUAAAUGUAAUAACUCUUGAUCCAGAGUCCGAGUCAAAGGAGGAGCGAUCUCGAGCCAACAGCAGCUGCAGUUCAAGACAGUCCCCAGUAGGGGGCACUGUGACCCCUGGAGGAAAGUUCACCUUACAGUCCCCCAUAACCCCACAGGGAUGGCCCCUCUCCCCCGGAUACAUAAGCAAAGAGUAA
rnacentral:lncRNA from 1 species